rnacentral:lncRNA from 1 species
CUACAAUGUUUUGAAGGUCAAGGAAAGAAAUGAAAGGUCAAAAAGUACUGAAACAGAAGGAACAGUGAAGAGGAGAAGAGUGGAAGAUGAAGCAGAGACUCCAUACCCAGAGUCAAAUAUGGACAGAACGGGAGCUGGGUGUGUUCACAGCAUGAGUAAAGCAGAACAUGGAUUUGAAAUGAAUUGCUCCAAAGAAAUUCAGUGUGAAUAUUGUCCGGCAUCUCUUACUGAGGGCUGUAACCCUAGGAAUUCAGGGGGACCUGUGGAAUGUAACACUGAAAAAAAUACAGAAACCAGUCAGGCUGAAGGUGAAAUGCAGCUACCACAGCAAAUGGAUCAAGUCAGAAACAAAGGAAAUACAGAGUUAAAAGGAAGAAGUUUCUCAGAGUUCUGGAGAAGCAUACUCAUUUCUCCAUUGCAGCAUCUUUUUGGUGGAAAUAACUGACCCUUCAAGUAUUAAUUGUUGUGGAAAGGUAAACUUGUAGCGUGWACGUCAGGUUGUGUUGUUUCCUUUUGUAAUUCAGCUUUUCACAUUGCUUGUCUCAGCUAUUAAAUGCAAUUUACUUUGUUUACRUUUUCAAAUUAACAUACUGAAGAUGUUGGGUUAGAAAUAGUAUGAUUUUUGCCUUCACAAACUAGAGUUUUUGAAAAAAGAGUAAAAAGUGUUGCAAUUUUGAUCUUUAAAUGUGAUAAACGGAAUUUUACAUUUUAAAAUCAUUAUAUGAGAUUCUAAUAAAACAGACAUC